rnacentral:rRNA from 1 species
GGAUGCGAUCAUACCAGCACUAAGCACCGGAUCCCAUCAGAACUCCGCAGUUAAGCGUGCUUGGCGAGAGUAGUACUAGGAUGGGUGACCCCUGGGAAGUCCUCGUGUUGCAUCCC